UAGACUGCUGACUGGACCUGUUGUUGCUGCUGCUCUGGUUACCUUCCUCUGGAGCACCUGAGCUGCACCCUGUUGGAUUUCAUCAAAAGGAAAAAUGUACCUGAGGUACAUAAAUGAACACCUCCUCAGGGUGCUACCAGUGGUCAGUGGCAGAUUGAGGAAAAAGAAACCAGGAGAUUACAACUCCUAGCCUUGAUUUCAGUUUCCCUUUGUUUUCUCCUGAGUUGCAAUCAGAAUGUGUUAUGCAUUUUCAUCUCUUCUAUGACAGUAUUUGUGAUUUUUUUUUUAACAUGGGAGGGACUGGGCACAGUGUACAUAGCCAAAAUUAAGAGUAUUUAUGUUGAGAGAACAGUGAAGCAACAGCCCACUGAUGUGGUCACCUUAGAUAAAUGUCAGUGGAUGCUGGUGAUGACAAACUUUGAAUGUUUGCUUCUGACUCCUUAGUUUCCUAUUUUGUGUCUGUCCUAGUCUACCUGCUUUAGAUACCUCAUCUUUUCUUCACUAACAACAAGCUCUGAGAUUGUUUCCCUGAGAGCAUUUCACUGUGUUAGCUUUCCAGUGUAUGACUCCAGGGACCCUCCAUGGUGCUUCAGCUCUCCAGCUGGGAAGGCAUCCAUUCUGUUAUUGAAGUCCCUGCUGUAAGGCUCCAGACCUCACUUACACCAGUGUGCAGCAGUAUUUGUUAGUGCUGUCCUAGCAGGCAAAUUCAGUCUUGAGAACUGAACUCCCGAGCUUUGUCUUCUGAAGAGAAAGUAGUUGCAAGUUUUUCCGAGGGAGCUAAGAAAGUAUAAACUGACAAUAGCUGGUACCAUUCACAUUCUGGAAGCUUUCCAGCUGCAUUAACCAAGUCUCCUGGGCUAGUUAGUUGUUUUGUGAGGAAAAGUCAUCUAUGAAAAAAUACCAAAAUGGCAUUUUUCUUAUGUAUGUGUAAGGUGUGCUCGUGUAUGUAAAAGUGUGUGCUUUCUAGUGAAAUAAAUGGCUUUUUAAAUCUAGUGAAUUCUAGUAAUUCCUCUUCCAGUGAGACACCU
rnacentral:lncRNA from 7 species